rnacentral:rRNA from 1 species
AUGAACGCUAGCGGUGUGCCUGAGAUAUGCAAGUCGAGCGAGUUAUUACCCGCAAGGGUGAUGACUAGCGGCGGACGGCUGAGUAACACGUAGGAAUUUGCCCUUUUCUGGUGAAUACCCUCGCGAAAGUGAGGCUAAUACACCAUGGUAUCUCGCGAUUAAAGAGCUUAACCGCUCGGAAAAGGAUGAGCCUGCGUCCUAUCAGGUAGUUGGUGGGGUAAUAGCCUACCAAGCCUAUGACGGGUAGCUGGUCUUAGAGGAUGGACAGCCAGAGGGGGACUGAGACACGGCCCCCACUCCUACGGGAGGCAGCAAUCAGGAAUAGUCGGCAAUGGGCGAAAGCCUGAUCGCGCGACACCGCGUGUAGGAUGAAGAUCUUAUUGAUUGUAAACUACUGUGGUAGAGGAAGAAGUUCCGCAAGGAAUUGACGGUACUCUACUAGAAAGGAGCCGCUAACUGCGUGCCAGAAGCGUCGGUAAUACGUGGGCUUCAAGCGUUAUCCGGUUUUAUUGGGCGUAAAGGGUCGUGUAGGCUGUAGUUCAAGUUAUCUCUUAAAUAUUCCGGCUCAACCGGGAAACAGGGGAUAAUACUGUUCUACUUGAAUUUUCUUUAGGGUAAUCGGAACUGAGGGAGGAGUAGUGAAAUGCGUUGAUACCCUCGGGAACACCAGUGGCGAAGGCGGAUUACUGGAAGGAAAUUGACGCUGAGACACGAAAGCCAGGGGAGCGAAGCAGAUUAGAGACCUGCGUAGUCCUAGCCCUAAACGAAUGUCUGCUGGCUGCAUGGUUUUGACGCAAGUCAAUUUCGUGUGGCGAAGGUAACCCGUUAAGCAGACCGCCUGGGGAGUACGGCCGCAAGGCUAAAACUCAAAGGAAUUGGCGGGGAGGCACACAACCAGUGGAACAUGUGGUUCAAUUCGAUACGAACCGAAGAACCUCACCAAGGCUUGAAAUGCUACCGUACAGUCGGCUGGAAACAGUUGAUAAUCCGCAAGGAUGGUAGCACAGGUGCUGCAUGGCUGUCGUCAGUUCGUUCCGUGAGGAGUGCCCUUAAGUGGGACAACGAACGCAACCCCCAUCUUGUGUUAAAUUUGUCACAAGAGACUGCCCUGACUUUGUCGGGGAGGAAGGAGGGGCAGACGUCAAGUCAGCAUGGUCCUUAUGCCCUGGGCUACACACAUGUUACAAUGGGUAAGACAAUGAGCUUUGCAAGCCGGCGACGGCAAGCCAAUCUCAUAAACUUACUCUCAGUGGGGAUUGAGGUCUGCAACCCGACCUCAUGAACGUGGAAUUGGUAGUAAUCGCGGAUCAGCUACGCCGCGGUGAAUACGUUCUUGCCUCUUGCACACACCGCCCGUCAAGCCAACAAAGUCGAUAGAAUUUGAAUCCCGAGUAUAUCGGGAGAGGAUUCUACCGGCGAUGAGGGUU